AUGUUGCUGAAGUGAGAAUCAUGAUGAAAUGUUCAUAGUAAAGCAAAAAAGCAUACAUCUAAACAACCGAAAUAUUAAUCAUCAUAACUUGGCCGAACUUAAAGGCCAUGAAAUUAAAGAAAGAAUUAGCUAGCAAACCAUUUUUCCUUACAGAACUUAAUCACAGCAUAACCAACCACAACAACACAAUUUCAACCCAAAUUUGAACAAUAAAUUCAAUAAUCAUAAACAUAAAAAUCGUGAACCAUUGGAUGAUAGCUUAACUACAACAACCAUAACAUAGUUGUAAAGUUGGGAUUAAUGUUUCCUGUUUUUUCUUACUCAAUUUGUACAGAAAUUAAUCAAACCAAAAAUUAGAAUAAGCCUGUCAAAAAUAAAGCUUCAAACUACAAGUCAACAACAGCCAGCAAUUAUUUCUACAAUAUCAAAAAAAAUAAAGCUAAACAAACAAAUUUUCAACCUGCAGCAGAAUCAUAUAACAGCAAACCAGGCAUUGAGCAACUCAAUUUCAAAAUCCAAUCUUUCAAGAGAUGAGAAAUUAAAAAAACAGCAUCAUUAAAAAUAUAAUAGCAAUCCCCUAUUCUUUUUAAUGAACCCGAGCGAAUUCCCCAUAGUAUUCGUUUCACCAAAGCAACACAGUGGUGUACAAGAGAGGAAAAGACAUUUCGAAGUGUUACCGUCGUCAUGCUGUUGUUGUUGGAGGACGGCAGAUGCGGUUUUGAUGACGAUGUUGAGAGCGAUUGAAGCGGCGACGGAGAAGUGAGUGGUUCGUAGCAGAAUCACAGGGUAACAACAGCAAUCACUUUGAAAUCGAUCCUCUAUCUAACAUACCCAUGGCUCUAAAUCUUCAAA